AGUAAGAAACAAGAUGUGGUUGCCAGAUCAAGUGCAGAAGCUGAAUUUCGAGCUAUGGCUCAAGGCAUUUGUGAGUUACUGUGGCUGAAAAUUGUUCUUGAUGAUCUCAAAAUAAAAUGUGAGGGACCUAUGAAGCUGCUAUGUGAUAAUAAGUCCGCUAUUUGUAUAGCUCAUAAUCCAGUUCAACAUGAUCGGACUAAACAUAUUGAGGUUGACCGCCAUUUCAUCAAAGAGAAACUUGAUAGCGGGUUGAUUACUACUCCAUACAUUCCCACUGGGCGUCAAUUGGCUGAUCUAUUAACAAAGGGGCUUCCUUCAGACAGAUUUCAAGAACUUACUAGCAAGCUGAGAAUGAUAAAUAUUUAUUCCUCAGCUUGAGGGGGAGUGUUGUAAAUAAUAUUGAUUUAGUUAUUAUUUAGUUUUUAUUUAGUCAUUUAUUGUUGUAUUGGGCUAAGUUCUUUGUUGUAUUGGGCCAAACCCAUUAGGUUAAAAGUAGGUCAAAUAUUCUCUAUAAAUAGAGAACCCUUUGUACAGAUUAUUUACAAUUCUAUAAUAUAUUAGAAUACCCUUUUCAAGUUUCUCAUUUUGUGAUGCCGAAUUUGAAGAAAGUUCGCAUAUUUUUUCCUAAGAAGUUAGAGUCCAUAUUCCCAAUGAGUUGUGUUGAAGGACUUGCACGACCGGAAGACGUAGAAAUAGUGGAGGAUCUUGAGCUGAAAUAUGUAUUUGGUGAAUGUGAUCAUGGAGAUAAUUCAUCACACCAAAGCGAGAACCAGAUUAUGCUUCCUCAUUUGGAAGUUCUCAAUCUUGAUGGACUUGAAAUAUCUCAUUGGGAUAUAUCCUGAAAACUAUGGUGCAAAGUGGCCAUCUCAGAGGAAGCUAACUGUUGUGCAGUGUCUGAAAUUGAGUACAUCAUGGAUUGCUGUGAUGGCUGCCUCUGAGCAAAGACACCGGCAUAUGGAUGAAGAAAUUAUCCUUUCUAAGGACCAGCAAAAGCACUUAUGCUUUCUAGAGUUACGAGGUUUGCCUCAAUUGAACCUUAUAUCAUGGGUAGGUCCUACUCCCGGACAGAUUUUGAGUCUCCAAUGUCUUCAGCAUUUUCAAGUGUUUCAAUGUGAAAACUUGAAAUAUAUUUUCCCCGUGGAAGUACAUAGGAGCCUACCAGGGUUGAUGUGGCUUCAUAUAUACGACUGCCAAGAAUUGGAACAAAUCAUUGCAGAAAAUGAAGAACUCGAGCACCUAUCCAAUGCUGAAGUAUUCUUUCCAAAGAUAACAAAUGUAACCAUUAAAAACUGCAACAAAUUGAAAAGCCUUUUUUCACUGUUGCUGUGGUUAAAAUGCUUCCAAAAUUAAGCAUUCUUGAUAUAUCAGAGGCUACUCAACUAGAAGAGGUUUCUAGACAUAACAGUGAAGACGGCACUAUCAAUGAAAGAGAAAUUGUGCUUCCGAACUUAACAGAGAUGGAACUGAAAGAGCUGUCGAGUUUUGUUGAUAUCUGCCAUGGUUCUAAGUUACACGCCGUGAAACUUCAAAAACUCCAUAUAGAUGAAUGCCCCAAAACGGCUCCAAGUUUGAGAGCAAUUCAGGUGCAACUAGAAGAAGCGAAAAGAAGAUGAUGAAGAAUCUUCUAUUGAUUGAAGAUGGAAUCCAUAUACUUCCAAUUGUAAGAGAUCAAGUGGUACAAAUAAUAUAGUAUUAUCUAUUAACUUACUUAUAUAUAAUUGAAAAACUGUGCAAGUAUCAUUAAGUAAAGAAUGUUCAGAUUUCAAUAGAGAUGAUGUUGUUGAAC